rnacentral:rRNA from 1 species
CCUUAGAGUUUGAUCAUGGCUCAGAUUGAACGCUGGCGGAAUGCUUUACACAUGCAAGUCGAACGAUGAACCCUAGCUUGCUAGGGGGAUUAGUGGCGAACGGGUGAGUAAUAUAUCGGAACGUGCCUUGUAAUGGGGGAUAACUAGUCGAAAGAUUAGCUAAUACCGCAUACGCCCUGAGGGGGAAAGUAGGGGAUCUUCGGACCUUACGUUAUAAGAGCGGCCGAUAUCUGAUUAGCUAGUUGGUGGGGUAAUGGCCUACCAAGGCUUCGAUCAGUAGCUGGUCUGAGAGGACGACCAGCCACACUGGAACUGAGACACGGUCCAGACUCCUACGGGAGGCAGCAGUGGGGAAUUUUGGACAAUGGGCGCAAGCCUGAUCCAGCCAUUCCGCGUGAGUGAAGAAGGCCUUCGGGUUGUAAAGCUCUUUCGCAAGGGAAGAAAACUUACUUUCUAAUAAAGAGUGAGGCUGACGGUACCUUGAUAAGAAGCACCGGCUAACUACGUGCCAGCAGCCGCGGUAAUACGUAGGGUGCGAGCGUUAAUCGGAAUUACUGGGCGUAAAGCGUGCGCAGGCGGUUUGGCAAGUCAGAUGUGAAAUCCCCGAGCUCAACUUGGGAACUGCGUUUGAAACUGCCCAGACUAGAAUAUGUCAGAGGGGGGGUAGAAUUCCACGUGUAGCAGUGAAAUGCGUAGAGAUGUGGAGGGAUACCAAUGGCGAAGGCAGCCCCCUGGGGAUAAUAUUGACGCUCAUGCACGAAAGCGUGGGGGAGCAAACAGGAUUAGAUACCCUGGUAGUCCACGCCCUAACGAUGUCUACUAGUUGUCGGUGGAGUAAAAUCCAUGAGUAACGCAGCUAACGCGUGAAGUAGACCGCCUGGGGAGUACGGUCGCAAGAUUAAACUCAAAGGAAUUGACGGGGGCCCGACAAGCGUGAUUAUGUGGUUAAUUCGAUGCAACGCGAAACCUUACCUGGCUUGACAUGCCACU